CAGACAAUUUUGAAGUUUGUGGGAGUUGUUUGUUGUCUAGCACCAAGAGCCAACAACCAACUUGAUACAUACCCGUGAAGUGUCGGCUGCCACUUGGGAUGAGCUGCUCCCUUUGGACUGCCUACCCGUGAGAUGUCGGCUGCCACUUUUACUCCUAACUCGAAUCGGUGCGGUGCGUCAUAGUAGCAAGUUUAGGAGUUUUAACAUUACAG
ensembl:ncRNA F44E5.8 ncRNA